GCUGCCCUAAAGCUAAGGGAAAGGAAAAACAAAUAGUUAAUUUAUUGAGAUUAUAGUCCUGUAGACAUGAGUCUCCCUCAGGUUACCAAACAUCUUAGGGAUUUACAAGAAAAAAGCAUUCUUGUCAAUAACCUAACUUCCAGAAGGCACCUCCCAACUAUCUUAAUGUCAAUGCUUUACUAGAGGAAUGAACAACCUUAACUUUCAGAAAGACGAGGCCUCCAGUAUCUUGUAGGUCCUCCUUAGCAUAUGAAAUUUCUUUAAAAAUCUCCCUUUUCCUUAUCUCCUUCAACUCCCGGGAUAUAAUGAGCUGCCCCUCACAACCCUGGGGCAGCAGUCCUGUCUUCGUGCUUUAAUAAAACCACCAUUUUGCACCAAAGACAUCUCAAGAAUUCUUUCUUGGUCGUCAGCUCCAGACCCCAUCCCAUCAAACCUCACCUACAUUCCAAAACUACAUCAGCAGGACUCCUUGACCCCUGCCCCUCCAUGCAGAGUCUUUCACGGGAUUCCCCUAUUGCCCAAAACGGUUGCCACCAGGGAGGAAGAAAGAUGGGAGCGGAGGCCAUGGCAACGGUUGAUGAGGCAACUUGCCUUGUUCAACAUUCCUUCGGAUUUUCAAGGAAUCCUCCGAGAGGGCUGGCUUUUCAUGAGGUUAAAGGCCCUGUCACCACAGUGACUUAUUUCAUGGACACCUAGAAUAUUGACCACCAGUCUGGAGUCCUACUUACCUGAGAUGCCCUGCCAGUGAAUUAAAAGCACCUCUGUGAAAGAAGAGAAAUAGAAUUGAGAUGGGAAAUAUUCCUACCAGGGAGGAUUCAGCUAUGGUGUAGAUGAAAACGUCUGUGUCUCCAUUGAUGCCCCACCAAACACUGUUUUGGUGUCAUGGAUUCGGAGCCUGAGUCUGAGCAGACACCGGUGCACAGGCUAUCACUUUCAAGGCUCGUGCCCCCCUCCCUUGCUCCACCUUGAGAGGUGACUACAUUCGAGGUAUCAUUGCUGAGGCAGGAGCUCAAGGGGCUGGAUCAGUGCUGGUGGGAAAGGAGCAGAGAGGAGGCAGGAGCAUUUCUGGAGGCAUCAGCUCUGGCCUGCCAAGGAUAAGAAGAGUCACCUCUGCUAUGUUCUUGAUCUCUGCCAGCAUUACAAGUAUUAUCCAUAAUCCAAGGUUUGUUUUUACGAAUCAACUGUUUCUAUUAUCUCUUUUGUGAAAGUGAGUUGGAAUAGGAUAGCCCCACACAGUGUGCUCUAUCAGUCUACCUAGCCGGGUACACACAGACUAGAUGUUGCAGUGUGUUGCGUGUGAACGAGUGUGUGUGGGUGCCUCCCUGCAUAGCCUGUGAGACGAUAGCAAUUUCUUUCCUUCCACUGAGUACUUCUGUGCUUUAGUGACAUGCAGUCAAUGUGUUCAUUAAGAGUUGAUGCAACUUAAUUCUCUCUAAAAAAAAUAAAUAAAAGCAUUAGUCAUAAUCGUUUAUAGUAUUUUCUUCCCAUACCUUAUUCCAUGCCCACUGUGGAGACCAUCAGCUUAUGGAAUAAGGAAGUGAUCAUUUUUAUCUCAUUUUUUCUGUGGAACAAGACUUAUCUGUGUCGUGGCACAUAGUCAUCAUGGGUUUGAAAUUUUAACAUAAAAACACAAAAUUACAUCUUGGGUAUGUUGUCUUUGAGUGGAUUUGCAGAGUACCUCAUGCAGAUUCCUAUCACAGCGCUACUGUGAUAGUCUACCCUUACUCUUUCUCCCGUGUCCUCCCUCGCACGCCCCUACCCCAAGACUCUGAGCCCAAUAAUGGUAAUAAUUACAUAAAGACAUAUGCUAUGUCUUUAAUCAUAGCUGAGCAUAUAGUAGAUUUUCAAUAGAAGGUUUCUGAAUUUAAAAACAGGUGAAAUAUAGAUUAGAGGUGGUUGGGUCUGCAAAGGAAUAUAUACCAAACCAUAGAGAAGUGUGUAAAGGUCGAUUUAAGAACUAAAGUGAGAUGAGCAGGAAUUUUG